rnacentral:rRNA from 1 species
AUUGAACGCUGGCGGAAUGCUUUACACAUGCAAGUCGAACGGAAGCACGGACUUCGGUCUGGUGGCGAGUGGCGAACGGGUGAGUAAUGUAUCGGAACGUGCCCAGUCGUGGGGGAUAACGUAGUGAAAAUUACGCUAAUACCGCAUACGAUCUAUGGAUGAAAGCGGGGGAUCGCAAGACCUCGCGCGAUUGGAGCGGCCGAUAUCAGAUUAGGUAGUUGGUGGGGUAAGGGCCCACCAAGCCAACGAUCUGUAGCUGGUCUGAGAGGACGAACAGCCACACUGGAACUGGGACAGGGUCCAGACUCCUACGGGAGGCAGCAGUGGGGAAUUUUGGACAAUGGGUGAAAGCCUGAUCCAGCCAUUCCGCGUGCAGGAUGAAGGCGCUCGGGUUGUAAACUGCUUUUGUACAGAACGAAAAGGUUUCUACUAAUACUAGGAGCUCAUGACGGUACUGUAAGAAUAAGCACCGGCUAACUACGUGCCAGCCGCCGCGGUAA